rnacentral:rRNA from 1 species
AGUGAACGCUGGCGGUAGGCCUAACACAUGCAAGUCGAACGGCAGCACAGUAAGAGCUUGCUCUUACGGGUGGCGAGUGGCGGACGGGUGAGGAAUACAUCGGAAUCUACUUUUUCGUGGGGGAUAACGUAGGGAAACUUACGCUAAUACCGCAUACGACCUACGGGUGAAAGCAGGAGAUCUUCGGACCUUGCGCGAUUGAAUGAGCCGAUGUCGGAUUAGCUAGUUGGCGGGGUAAAGGCCCACCAAGGCGACGAUCCGUAGCUGGUCUGAGAGGAUGAUCAGCCACACUGGAACUGAGACACGGUCCAGACUCCUACGGGAGGCAGCAGUGGGGAAUAUUGGACAAUGGGCGCAAGCCUGAUCCAGCCAUACCGCGUGAGUGAAGAAGGCCUUCGGGUUGUAAAGCCCUUUUGUUGGGAAAGAAAAGCAGCAGAUUAAUACCCCGCUGUUCUGACGGUACCCAAAGAAUAAGCACCGGCUAACUUCGUG